GGCUCGUUGGUCUAGGGGUGUGAUUCUUGGUUUGGGUAUGAGAGGUCCUGGGUUCAAAUCCCAGAUCAACCC